GAGCAAUUUAAGUGCCAGGAUUCAAAACCAAGUUGAAAGUGAGUGGCAGAAGGUCAAGUCAAAAGUAUUAGGCAUAUGUCAGUGCACAGUUACUAGGAGAGAGCAGGCUUCUGUAAAACCAGGGAAGCACAAUAGGAUUCUGAUGAAGAUCGGAGACAGAGAUCAACUGCCAUGGCCUUUAUACACAAUAUGGUUACAGUCCUGAUGUUGGUUGUGCUGCAUUGUCAUCUGGUGGCUCACUUGGGAGAGAAAAACUGUUCCCAGUCUCAUUAAUCCUAUAUGAAUAGAAAUACAAGGAAAACAUGAUUUAACAGUAGGGAAACAUAAAGAAGAUACAACAAUUUUAUUUCUCCUGGUGAUGUUUCUUUGCAAGUGGCUUUGGUCAAAGAGAAGGUGUCUGCAUAACCCCAUUCUUCCUGGACGUGGUACAAGAACUCGGGACCUGCCAAACAGUGGGCGUGAAAAGAGCUGUAACACUUUCAUGGCUGGCUCACCUAGCUGUGAGUGGG
rnacentral:lncRNA from 1 species